UGUUUUAUAGUUGUGAAGACUACUAUUAUGUUGACCAACAUGGAAGAUUUUAAUACUGUAAAUGAGGUCUAUAAAGAAUUUUUCACAACAAAUUAUCCAGCCAGGUGUACAUAUCAAGUUGCAAAGUUACCUCUGGUACAAUAAAAACAUUAUUUUACUAGUUAUAAUAAUAAAUUGCUAUUGCUAUAUCUAAGGAGAACAGAAAAAUCAUAAUAAUAUAUUAUAUAUUUGAUGUACGUCAUAUUAAUCGAAUUUAUGUCUUUUAUGUCAUGAAAUCUCGAUAUCAAAUGACUUAAAAUUGACUUUAUAUUGACUUUUUUUCUUAUAGUGUCGAUUUUAAAAAAAAAUGCAGUGUACGUAUUUCGGCAUUCAUAAAUCAUCAGGAAGCAUUAAUUUCCAGAUAGAAAGGUUAAGCAACGCUAGAUAGAAUUAAUAUGACUUGCAUCGAUGAUCGCUUAAAAACACUAUGAAGUGUGAAUAAAAGUUUCCAUGCAAAUACAUUUUUUAAAAUCAUAA